ACAGAUGAACAAAGAAAAGCAAAGAUCAGUUGGGGAACUUCUGGGUAUCACAGAAGCAUUCACUAGAGCAACUGAUAUCUUAAGUCUCAGUUUCUCUAGAUGAGAGUGAGGAGGCUGAAAUACGUUUUUUCAUCCCACAUUCAAGGGCAAGAUGUAUGAUCUGACCAAUGUGAAGACCUGGUUCUUCAAAGUGCAAGAGAUAAUCACCAAAGAGUGGGUGUUGGCUGACAGAUACUGAUGUCACCAAGACCAAUUAAAAUGGAGAGCCAGAGUCAAAAUCCUGAUUCCUUUCCUGCCAUCACUUCCAAAGUAGCCUUUUUCAUGCAUCCAGGAAAGAAACUCAAGAAAAUAACUGUGGCAUGAGGCCAGUUUCACAUUGGAUACAGAUGGGAAUUCCCAAGUAACGUGCUAUAACUGCAAAAACUACAGACAAUCCAUGUCUAAAAUUUUAAAGGGAAUCUUUAACCUAUUUAAAGAAUUUGGGGUUUGAAAUAAUUCCAUAGUGAACUAAGUUUACAGUGAGCAGUCAGAAAUAGUUCUGGUGAAUGAAGCUGUAGGCAUUUAGAAGGGGGGUAAGAGAAGAAAAAAAUCAUGAGGAAAUGAGGAAUUUUUUUGGUAAAUGAAAAAGAAGAAGUUGUAGUAAACAUUUCAGAAUUAUGGGAGAUGGGAGAAUGCCUAGAGAUCAGUAUAAAUAUUGACAGAGUUUAAAAUUAGGAAUAGUUGAUAAAUGUGUUCUUAACUGCACUAUCUGCUACUUUACAGGUACGUGUAUAUUUUAUGUGACAUGUCUAUCUCCUAAUACCAUCACAUUUGGGGUUAGGAUUUAACAUGAAUUUUGGAGGGACACAAACAUUCAGUCUAUAGAACAGAUACGUAGAAAGAAAGAAAUAUGCAUACACAUGUAUGGCCUUUUUUCUCACACAAAAGGUAGAGUGUAAUAAAAAAUUGGGGGCCCUUGCUUUUUUUCGUCUAAUGCAUAUAUCCUUGGAAUCCCUCAAUAUCAGUUAAUAGAGAUAUUCAUUCCUUUUAUAGCUUGAUAGUCCUCCAUUGUAUGAAAGUACCCUAGUUUAUUCAGCCACUCUCAUAUGUGUGAGCAUUUAGGUCAUUUCCACUAUUUUGAUUUUACAAAUAAUGCUGCAGUGAAUACCCUUGAGCAUACAUUUUUGUACUUUGAGGAAUGUAUGUUUAGGUUAGAUUACUAAAAUUGGGAUUGGUGGACAAAAAUUUAAUAUGAGCAUCUUUUCAUGUUUAAGGGUCAUUUGCAUAUCAUACCCUGUAAAUUGUCCAUUCAGGUUCUCUGCACAUUUUUCUAAUGGAUUUUGGUCUUUGUAUCUUUUGAUUUUUUAAGAGUUCUUUACCAUCGAUAGUGGUUCUACACACUGGUAUAUUGUAAAAAAUGCCCAAACAGCAUUAUAUUGAAAAUUAAGAACUGAAAUUUGCAGGUGAUUUCCUUCUUUUAAAAAAGAAAAGUAAAUAUAAGGUCAUCCCUGUAGUAAUAAUAAUACUCUCCAUUAAUUGCUUUCCAACCUAGCAUGUUGUGAAGAGGUGAAGAAAACAGGAGCUUACCAGACAUCAGAGAAUUACACCCAAUCCUAGUGGCUACUCCAGAGUUUGCAAUAUACACUUACAGCUAAUUGAAGUCCACUUUCAAGUAACACUGGACAGUCAUAUGGACAGGUGAGUACCUUAUAAUAACAAAAUAAUUCUAAUUUCUACUUCCUAUCUCUUGUAUCAUUGUUUUCAUUCA